CGUAGGUGGCGAGCGUUAUCCGGAUUUAUUGGGUUUAAAGGGUGCGUAGGCGGCUUAAUAAGUCGGUGGUCAAAGGUAGCAGCUUAACUGUUUUACAUGCCACCGAUACUGUUGAGCUUGAGAUAUGUGGAGGCAGAUGGAAUUUCCGGUGUAGCGGUGAAAUGCAUAGAUACCGGAAGGAACUCCUAUUGCGAAGGCAAUCUGCUACAGAUAAACUGACGCUGAUGCACGAAAGCGUGGGGAUCAAACAGGAUUAGAUACCCUGGUAGUCCACGCCGUAAACGAUGAUUACUAGUUGUUGGCCCGCUGGGGUCAGUGACCAAGGGAAACCGAUAAGUAAUCCACCUGGGGAGUACGCCGGCAACGGUG
rnacentral:rRNA from 1 species